rnacentral:rRNA from 1 species
GAUCAACGCUGGCGGCGUGCAUAACACAUGCAAGUCGAACGAUGAAGAUUAAAAGAUUUCUUCGGAAUGAACUUAAUUGGAUUAGUGGCGGACGGGUGAGUAACGCGUGAGUAACCUGCCUUGUACAAGGGGAUAGCCGUUGGAAACGACGAAUAAUACCCUAUGACAUCAAAUAAUCGCAUGAUAAUUUGAUCAAAGAUUUAUCGGUAUAAGAUGGACUCGCGUCUGAUUAGCUAGUUGGUAGAGUAAAAGCCUACCAAGGCAACGAUCAGUAGCCGGCUUGAGAGAGUGUACGGCCACAUUGGGACUGAGACACGGCCCAGACUCCUACGGGAGGCAGCAGUGGGGAAUUUUGCACAAUGGGGGAAACCCUGAUGCAGCGACGCCGCGUGAUUUAGAAGGCCUUCGGGUUGUAAAAAUCUUUUGUAUGGGAAGAAAAUGACAGUACCAUACGAAUAAGGACCGGCUAAUUACGCG